rnacentral:misc_RNA from 1 species
AAGUCGUAACAAGGUUUCCGUAGGUGAACCUGCGGAAGGAUCAUUACAUUCAGUAGCUUGCUACUGUUAGGGAGGCCGGUUAGUCUGUAUAGUAUCACUACUGAUGAGCAGCACGGCCUUCUGUCUGUACCCUUGUCUUUUGCGCACUCAUGUUUCCUCGGCUGGGUUCACGCCCGCCGGCUGGACAACUCUAUAACCUUUUUAAUUUUCAAUCAGCGUCUGAAAAACCUAAUAAUUACAACUUUCAACAACGGAUCUCUUGGUUCUG